GGAAGAAGAGGCUGUACAGCAAAGCCUAGGCGCGCCUCUGCCUGGAACCCCUUCCCCUCUUGCGCACCUUCAAGCCAUCCUUUGCUUCUUUCCUCUCCUCCCCACCCACCUCCUCCUCCUCUUCCUCCUCUCUCUCUGUCAUCUCCAGGCUUCUCUUCUUCCUGCGUGGGAGACAGGCAGAGAAAGAGAGAGAGAGAGAGCAGCUGUGGAGGGCUCUAGGCUGGGGAAUCCCGGCGAGCCGGGUACUGCGGACUUUCGCCUCGGCAAAACCAGGACCUUGGAGAGGGCUGGAGCCUCAGGAAAGGACCGGCCUCCCCCUCCAGAGAAAGAGAGAAGCCGCUUUGCUGUAGCCCUCUUUCCAGCCCCUCCAGCGUUUUUUUUUUGGGGGGGGGGAGGGGGAUGGCGAGGAAGGGAGAGCCUUGAGGCGGGAAAGCAGCCUCGCCGCCUCUGGAAGAGAAGAAGCGAAAGAGACUCUCAGGUUCCCGCCUAAACUUUGAUUGCAGAGGCUUCCUCCUCUCCCCUCAGCUCUUGACUGCAGGUCCUUGGAGAAGGAAGGAAAGAAGAAAAGGGGGAUAGUUUGAGGGAGGAGGAGGAGGCGCAACAGAAGCCGGUCUCUCGCUUGGAAAGGAAAAAGCCUCCUCCUCUCCUCCUUGUCCAGGACUCCUCCGCUUCUGGCCCCAGGCUCUGGAGGAGGCUCUUCCUCUCCUCUUCCUCCCGCCCUGAUGCUGCUGAGGCUCCCGAGGCGCCCCUUCUGAGCCUGGGCCCCAGGAGGGCAAGAUGGACGUGGCCCCCUUUCCAGGAGUUGGCCUCGGACUGCAGGGCGCAUCCAGAGAGGACUAAGGAGCCCCGCUGGGGUCAAGCGCUGCCAAAUCCGUCGCAGUGCCCUCCUCAUCCCUUCCCUCCCAAGUCCCCCAACAUCCCUCUUCGGGGUCUUUCUUCCCCAUCCUGUCCCCAUCCUAACAAGACUUGAUGACGGAUCAUCUAUUGACCUUCCUUUGGCUGCCUCCAGAGACCCCGAGGAGGCUGCCUUCUUGAUCUGUUUCCAAGAAAGCCUUGGGGCUUUGGGGGGCGUGAAGCGGAGGAGGCCAAGGCAGGGGCUUUCUUUCUGGAGCCUCGAGGGGGGACUCUCUCUCUCUCUCUUUCUCUCCCUCCCUCCCUCUCUUCUCCUCCCGCCCCAGAGCUCCUGGGCUCGCCAUGCAAGGGCUCUGCGAUGGGGGCGGCGUGGGCUGCUAGGCUCCGAUGCUGGUGGCUGGAGGAGGCGGAGGAGACGGUGGCCCUGGGGGGCUGAGGCUAGUCAGGGCGGGCCACGGCGGAGGAGGCGGAGGCCAGAGCGGGGCGCGGGAGAGGCCAGGCCCGCGGCGGGGCCCCAGGCGGUGCGGAGCCUCCUCAGCCCUGGCCGCCGGUGGAAGCCCUCCCUCCCGUCUCUAAAUGGAAUUAGUGGAGAGCGAAGCCCCGGCAGCAAGGAACAGACAUGACCCAUGGGCGCAGCUUCUUUCACAUUGUAGCAAGUUUUAUCAUCCUACAUUGGGCUGGGGCAACAAAAAAAGGAGCAGAAAAGCAAACCACUUCAGAAGGACAAAAGACAGUGCAGUGUGGAACGUGGACUAAAUACCCAGAAGGAGGCAUUUUCACUUCUCCCAAUUACCCCAACAAAUACCCUCCUGACAGAGAGUGUGUCUACAUUAUAGAAGCUGCUCCAAGACAAUGUAUUGAGUUACACUUCGAUGAAAAAUAUUCCAUAGAACCUUCUUGGGAAUGUAAAUUUGAUCACAUUGAAGUGCGGGAUGGACCUUUUGGCUUUUCCCCAAUAAUUGGCCGUUUCUGUGGACAACAAAACCCACCUAAGAUAAAAUCCAGUGGCAGAUUCCUGUGGAUUAAAUUUUUUGCUGAUGGUGAACUUGAAUCUUUGGGAUUUUCUGCACGAUACAAUUUCACACCUGAUCCAGACUUCAAAGAUCUUGGUGUUUUGAAACCAUUGCCAGUUUGUGAGUUUGAGAUGGGAGGAUCUGAAGGAAUUGUGGAAUCUGUGCAAAUUGGAAAAGAAGGGAAAGCUUCUGAUACUGAGGCAGUAGAUUGUAAAUGGUAUAUCCGAGCACCGCCACGAUCCAAGAUAUAUUUACGAUUCUUGGACUAUGAAAUGCAGAAUUCUAAUGAAUGCAAAAGGAAUUUUGUGGCUGUCUAUGAUGGAAGUAGCUCAGUGGAGGAUUUAAAAGCUAAGUUUUGCAGCACUGUUGCUAAUGAUGUGAUGCUGCGCACAGGUCUUGGAGUAAUCCGCAUGUGGGCAGAUGAAGGCAGUCGAAGCAGCCGAUUCCAGAUGCUCUUCACAUCUUUCCAAGAACCCCCCUGUGAAGCAAAUGCAUUCUUUUGCCAUAGUAAUAUGUGUAUUAAUAAUACAUUGGUCUGCAAUGGACUUCAGAACUGUGUGUAUCCAUGGGAUGAAAACCACUGCAAAGAGAAAAGAAAAGCCAACCUGUUGGACCAGCUUACCAACACCAGUGGGACAAUAAUUGGGGUAACCUCCUGUAUUGUGGUUCUCCUUAUCAUUAUCUCUGUUAUAGUACAAAUCAAACAGCCUCGUAAAAAAUUCGUCCAGAGAAAUGCAGACUUUGAUCAAACAGUAUUCCAGGAGGUGUUUGAGCCUCCGCACUAUGAGUUAUGCACUCUUAGAGGAACAGGGGCUACAGCGGACCUUGCAGAUGUUGCAGAUGAUUUUGAAAAUUAUCAUAAACUGCGUAGAUCAUCUUCAAAAUGCAUUCAUGACCAUCACUGUGGAUCACAGUUAUCUAGCACUAAGGGCAGCCGUAGUAACCUCAGCACAAGAGAUACACCUAUCUUGACAGAAAUUCAACCUCAGCCUGUAAAGCCCCUGAUCCAACCCAUGAACCGAAGAAAUAUUCUUGUCAUGAAACAUAGCUAUUCACAAGAUGCAGCAGAUGCGUGUGAGAUUGAUGAAAUCGAAGAGGUACCAACCACGAGUCACAGGCUGUCCAGACAUGAUAAAGCUGUCCAGCGCCAUAACAUUCCAGGUUCUGCCUCAUUGGGUCUCUAAACAAACAUGAAUCUGAGUACAACACAACUAGGGUGUAAAGACAAACUAAAGACUGCUUGAGAAUAGUGCGAUCCUGGGUGAUUUUGAAUAUGCUACAGUGAAUUAUGAAAAUCGGCCCUGGAACUGCCAGCUAGAGAUGUUCUGGACUCUGACCAGCUUUUCCAAUUUCAUGAAAAAAAAAUCAUCAGUCAGUAAUGAAUAAACUUAACGGAUGGCAAUAAGACUCUUAUUAUUCAUCAUUGCUAUCAUUUAUUCUUACUAUUAUAGUUUUUUCUUUCUUUAUAUAUAUAUAUAUUUGCUUUGUUUUGUUUUGUUACAAAGAAAAGUUUACCCAGUUUCAGGAAAGAAAAUGAUUAAAUCAGGUAUUUGCCCAUACACAAUCACAACAGAAACAUUUGUUGGAUAGAAAUCUAACAACACUACUGAAUUUGUCUCAGAAACUGAUUUGCAUGUAUGUUGCUGAAUAUUUGAGAUGGCAAAACAGCAAUGGCAAGGAAUCCCUUUGAGGUACAUUGUAAAAAGCAUGCAUUCAUAAUUACUGCUGUUCCUAUCCAUUUCUUUGUGUCAUAUGCUUGCUAACUGUAACUUUUUAUAUAAAGAUACAUAAAACAAAUAAUAAUUUCUUA